CCCAAAUGUGGCCUUGGGUUUUCAGGAGCCCAGUAGUGACUUCUGUGGUCCCUGACUUGCACCCUCACCCUAUUAUUGGAGUUGUGCUUCAUUUCUCUGUGUGGAAAGAGUGAAGUAUUGGGAAAUAUGACCCUGGUCACCAAACCAACUCAGAGACAGCAAGUGCUUUGGCAAAGGAAAGGGCUGGCACAGAGAACAGAAGCCCCCAGCUAUCAAUACAUUACAGCAGGAUGAGA
rnacentral:lncRNA from 1 species